AAUGAACGCUGGCGGCGUGGUUAAGACAUGCAAGUCGAACGGUUUUUAUUGAAGGGCAACCGGAUAUAAAAGCAGUGGCGAACGGGUGCGUAACACGUGAACAAUCUACCUCCAAGUGGGGAAUAGCUCGCCGAAAGGCGAAUUAAUACCGCAUGUGGUGGUUUCUCGCAUGAGAAGCUUACUAAAACAGGGACCGCAAGGCCUGUUGCUAGGAGAGGAGUUCGCGGCCUAUCAGCAGUUGGCGAGGUAAC
rnacentral:rRNA from 1 species